CAACCUCUGGCGAAAUACGUGAAUGUUG
ncrna:unclassified sequences L19-Flavobacteria ribosomal protein leader